GUAAACACAAAAGUUCAGAAACAUUGUAAUGCCAUUCAACUUGUUCUUGUGUGAGAGGAAACAUGUUCAUGAAGUUGAGAUUUGUGCGGAUGGAUUUGAAGAAAAAGCCUGGAUUUAUGACCUUAUUUUAAUAUAUUUGGAGAAUAGAAAUGAUUGAAAAUCUCAUUGAUAACAAGCAAGCAAACAAUAAAAAGCAGCAAGGACGUCUUUAAAGAAAAAGCAGAGCCCGGGAGUACAUCACUACAGAGAUUUUGCCCAAACUCUUUUAAAGCCGUUUCACGCGUCUGAUUUGAUUCUUUUUGUGAAACGUAUCAAUGAUGGCAGCAAAUUUGGACCUUCCAGAUCAUUCUAAGACGACCGAAACCGUGACUUAUGAUCCAAUGUCUGAAACUGUAACGUUACCAAAAGGAAUUGUUUCUGUGGCGGGUGUCACUGUGAUCACCGGAGGAGCUGAGCUGUCCUGUAGUUCCUGUAUGUUGAUUUUUGGGGUUUGGGGAACUCUUGUUGGUUUGAGCAUGGUGUCAGUAGGGCUGUGGGACCAUUCGCAGCAUAAAAACAGUGGUCUAUCACACCUUCUGACUCUUGGAUUGGUAGUGCUGCUUACCAGUUCAGGACUGGUGGCUGUGGUUUUUGCCUUCCGUUUCGUGAUGAAAAAGAGGAGAAUGAAGGCCAGAAGAGAAAGACAAGAAGGAAACAGCUGGGCUGAAAACGUAUUGUUUCCAGGACCUAUAUAUGGUGGCGAAGGAGAACAAGUGGAGUUCAACACCUCCACUUCUCCUCUUAUGAAAUUUCAGUCAAUCUUCUGGAGCUUCGGAAAAGUAAACAUCAUAACAUCACAUUCAAAUUCAGGUUCUGACACAGUGGGACCAGAAUAUACAGACAGAGUGGUUCUAAACAAAAGCACUGGGUCUCUGACAUUACAAAAUUUGAGGCUGACUGACACUGGAGCUUACACUGUGACUUUGACCCCAGAAGACGGAACACAAACACUACAGGGAAGGACUGAUUUACAAGUGUUUGUCCCUGUGACUGGUGUAAAUAUCAAAGGCCCAAACUCUACACUCGUGGAGGGUAAAAGCUCGGCUAACCUCAAUUGUGAUGGAAAUGGUACUAUCACCACUACUCAGUGGAUAAAGGAUGGUCAACAUCUGUCUGAAAGUGACACCAUCACCUUCUCAGCUGAUAACAGAUCAAUGUUGAUAAAUCCAGUGAACAGAUCAGACAUUGGGGAAUAUGUUUGUGUCCGCAGCAAUCCUAUCAGUUCUGAAAUGGCUAACUACAGAAUAACUGUGCUCUAUGGGCCUGAUGUGAAGAUACUUGGAGCAGAGAUAUUAGAAGAAGGCUCAGACAUUCUUCUGUACUGUUCAGUUUCAUCUGUACCUCUAGCUGCUCUCACCUGGACAGUAAAUGAUAUGGAUGCUGGAAAUUCAUCUUUAUACAUUAGAAGGAGCAGCAACUCGGAUCACAGUGGAAUCUACACUUGCACAGCCUCAAACCACAUGACUGGACUCACAAACUCUGCACAACACACAGUAACAGUAAGAGGUACUUCAAACAAUUUGUUGAGUCCUGGAGAAAUAGCAGGGAUCGUGGUGGGAGUUGUAUUAGUAUUGCUGUUAGCAAUUAGUGUGUUUUUUAACUUUCGAAAUGUCAAAGGCUCUACAGGAAAUGCUAAUCGCAAGUCUGAACUUCAUGUCAGGGACCUUGAGGUGAGACAUGGACAGAGGACCCAGACGCAGACAGCGGCUUACAGAUCAGGACAAUACGAUGAAUCUGUCAAGACAGCCUCCCACAAGAGACCAAGUGAUGAUUAGACCUAUUAAAACAACAGACUUCAAAGGUCCGAAUCCAGACACAGAACAUGUUUAUGAAGUGUGUGAUGAUAACUCUAAUCCUUACGUAAAUUAAGACCAACUGUAGCCUACUACCUAAAACAUGUUCAGUGACUGGCUGAAUCAGCUUCCAGUCAAAAAGAAGAAGGAUUGAUGAUUUUGUGACUAAAUUUGAUUUGUGUCAAAUUUGAACGAAAAUGUUUGAAUGUAUGCUUUUCAUUGUGUGAGAUGAAUGCUUAUUUUCAUCAUCUGCAGGAACGAGUCGUCUCCUAAGAAGUCAUCUCCUUAUAAUUACCACAUAAUGUAACAUGGUGCAAUGGAUGCUGGGGCUAUUGGAUAGACACUUGAGUGUCUAAAGUAUGUCCAACAAAAUAAUUGUUGAUGUUAGCAUUGGCAACAUGUUUAGACUAUAAUUCAGGAUACACAAAAAUGACUUUGACUCCAGAAAAUAACUACAAUAUGUACAAGUGUUAGAAUUUUUUUAAUGUAAAGUUCAAUUACAUUCUUGAGGCUUUCAUAGCGAUUAUAACUAUAAAGUAUAUCGUAUUAUAUUGCAAGUUGCUUUACAAUGUAUCAAGUUAAUUUUAAUGUAGAAAUCACAAUAUUCACAAUAGGCACCAGGAG